rnacentral:rRNA from 1 species
UACACUCCUACGGGAGGCAGCAGUGAGGAAUAUUGGACAAUGGGUGGAAGCCUGAUCCAGCCAUCCCGCGUGCAGGAAGACGGCCCUAUGGGUUGUAAACUGCUUUUAUCUGGGGAUAAACCUACUUACGUGUAAGUAGCUGAAGGUACCAGAAGAAUAAGCACCGGCUAACUCCGUGCCAGCAGCCGCGGUAAUACGGAGGGUGCAAGCGUUAUCCGGAUUUAUUGGGUUUAAAGGGUCCGUAGGCGGACUGAUAAGUCAGUGGUGAAAUCCGACAGCUUAACUGUCGAACUGCCAUUGAUACUGUUAGUCUUGAGUAAGGUUGAAGUGGCUGGAAUAAGUAGUGUAGCGGUGAAAUGCAUAGAUAUUACUUAGAACACCAAUUGCGAAGGCAGGUCACUAAGUCUUAACUGACGCUGAUGGACGAAAGCGUGGGGAGCGAACAGGAUUAGAAACCCGGGUAGUCCC